CACGUAGGGCGCAAGCGUUUGUCCGGAAUUAUUGGGCGUAAAGAGCUCGUAGGCGGUCUGUUGCGUCCGCUGUGAAAAACUCGGGGCUUAACCCCGAGCCUGCAGUGGAUACGGGCAGACUAGAGUGCGGUAGGGGAGACUGGAAUUCCUGGUGGUAGCGGUGAAAUGCGCAGAUAUCAGGAGGAACACCGGUGGCGAAGGCGGGUCUCUGGGCCGUAACUGACGCUGAGGAGCGAAAGCGUGGGGAGCGAACAGG
rnacentral:rRNA from 1 species